rnacentral:rRNA from 1 species
GACGAACCGUGCGAACGUUGUUCGGAAUCACUGGGCUUAAAGGGCGCGUAGGCGGCUUGCCAAGUCAGUGGUGAAAUCCUGCAGCUUAACUGCAGAAGUGCCUUUGAUACUGGCGAGCUCGAGGGAGGUAGGGGUAUGUGGAACUUCUGGUGGAGCGGUGAAAUGCGUUGAUAUCAGAAGGAACGCCGGUGGCGAAAGCGACGUACUGGACCUCUUCUGACGCUGAGGCGCGAAAGCUAGGGGAGCAAACAGG